AUUGAACGCUGGCGGCAUGCUUUACACAUGCAAGUCGAACGGCAGCGCGGGCUUCGGCCUGGCGGCGAGUGGCGAACGGGUGAGUAAUGCAUCGGAACGUGCCCAGUAGUGGUGGAUAGCCCGGCGAAAGCCGGAUUAAUACCGCAUACGACCUGAGGGUGAAAGCGGGGGACCGAAAGGCCUCGCGCUAUUGGAGCGGCCGAUGUCGGAUUAGCUAGUUGGUGGGGUAAAGGCUUACCAAGGCGACGAUCCGUAGCUGGUCUGAGAGGACGAACAGCCACACUGGGACUGAGACACGGCCCAGACUCCGACGGGAGGCAGCAGUGGGGAAUGUUGGACAAUGGGGGCAACCCUGAUCCAGCCAUGCCGCGUGCGGGAAGAAGGCCUUCGGGUUGUAAACCGCUUUUGUUCGGGAAGAAAUCCUCUGGGCUAAUACCCCGGGGGGAUGACGGUACCGGAAGAAUAAGCACCGGCUAACUACGUG
rnacentral:rRNA from 1 species